AUCGGUAUCGUCUAAUGGAAAGACAAGAGCUUCCAAACCUCUUGAUGUGGGUUCGAUUCCUACUACCGGUGC
rnacentral:tRNA from 1 species